rnacentral:rRNA from 1 species
UUUAACGGCCGCGGUAUUUUGACCGUGCAAAGGUAGCGCAAUCACUUGUUUCAUAAAUUGAAACCCGUAUGAAUGGCAAGACGAAGGCUUAACUGUCUCCCCUUUCAGGUCAGUGAAAUUGAUCUGCCCGUGAAGAAGCGGACAUAUUUAUACAAGACGAGAAGACCCUUUGGAGCUUAAGACCUAAACCAACUGUGUGACAGACUAACUACCAUUAGCCAACUAAACCUUGCACUGGCCCACGUCUUCGGUUGGGGCGACCACGGAGAAAAACAAAGCCUCCGCGCAGAAUAGGAAUAAAUUUUCCUUAAACCAAGAGAGACAUCUCUAAGCCACAGAACAUCUGACUAAAACAGACCCGGGUAUUAUUGCCCGAUUAACGAACCAAGUUACCCUAGGGAUAACAGCGCAAUCCCCUUCCAGAGCCCUUAUCGACAAGGGGGUUUACGACCUCGAUGUUGGAUCAGGACAUCCUAAUGGUGCAGCCGCUAUUAAGGGUUCGUUUGUUCAACGAUUAAAGUCCUAC